rnacentral:rRNA from 1 species
AACGUAGGUGGCGAGCGUUAUCCGGAUUUAUUGGGCGUAAAGAGCGUGUAGGCGGCCAUGUAGGUCCGGUGUGAAGACUCGAGGCUUAACCUCGAGAUGUCAUCGGAAACCAUUUGGCUAGAGUCCGGAAGAGGAGAGUGGAAUUCCUGGUGUAGCGGUGAAAUGCGCAGAUAUCAGGAAGAACACCAAUGGCGAAAGCAGCUCUCUGGGACGGUACUGACGCUGAGACGCGAAAGCGUGGGGAGCGAACAGG